rnacentral:rRNA from 1 species
CCGGCGACCGGCGCACGGGUGAGUAACACGUAUGCAACCUGGCCGUCACAGGUGGAUAACCGGAAGAAAUUCCGACUAAUACAGCAUAACACUCCUGAGGGACAUCCCUUGGGAGUCAAAGGAGGCAACUCCGGUGACGGAUGGGCAUGCGGCGCAUUAGGUAGUUGGUAGGGUAACGGCCUACCAAGCCGACGAUGCGUAGGGGUUCUGAGUGGAAGGUCCCCCACAUUGGAACUGAGACACGGUCCAAACUCCUACGGAAGGCAGCAG